rnacentral:rRNA from 1 species
CCUACGGGUGUCAGCAGUGAGGAAUAUUGGUCAAUGGGCGGAAGCCUGAACCAGCCAAGUCGCGUGAGGGAAUAAGGCCCUACGGGUCGUAAACCUCUUUUGCCGGGGAGCAAGGGCGGGGACGUGUCCCGGCCCGGAGAGUACCCGGAGAAAAAGCAUCGGCUAACUCCGUGCCAGCAGCCGCGGUAAUACGGAGGAUGCGAGCGUUGUCCGGAUUUACUGGGUGUAAAGGGUGCGUAGGCGGCUUUGCAAGUCAGAAGUGAAAUCCAUGGGCUUAACCCAUGAACUGCUUUUGAAACUGCAGAGCUUGAGUGGAGUAGAGGUAGGCGGAAUUCCCGGUGUAGCGGUGAAAUGCGUAGAGAUCGGGAGGAACACCAGUGGCGAAGGCGGCCUACUGGGCUCUAACUGACGCUGAGGCACGAAAGCGUGGGUAGCAAACAGGAUUAGAUACCCGGGUAGUC